AGUUAGCGUUACCGUUAGCAUCACGAGAGGACGUUAGGUGUGUCAGUCGACAGUUAGCGUUACCGUUAGCAUCAUGAGAGGACGGUAGGUGUGUCAGUCGACAGUUAGCGUUAGCGUUAGCAUCAUGAGAGGACGGUAGGUGUGUCAGUCGACAGUUAGCGUUAGCGUUAGCAUCAUGAGAGGACGGUAGGUGUGUCAGUCGACAGUUAGCGUUACCGUUAGCAUCAUGAGAGGACGGUAGGUGUGUCAGUCGACAGUUAGCGUUAGCGUUAUCAGUUUGUGAAAGUUUUAUGGCUGAAUCUCUCCGAUGUUGCCUCUUGCCAUCUUGUUGCUGACAUUCUUCCAACGGUCACCAGCCUGUGUUAUUUGCAUAUCAUGAAUAUUCUUGUUUCCAACAGCUGCCGUUCAACGCGACCGCUCCGACGAGCCCUUCACUCUGAGCUGUGAACUGUCACCGCAGUGAUUAUUAAAUGUCAGAGAGAUGAUCAAUGCCGCCUCCAGGAACCCAGAGUAUACACUGGUCUGAAGGCUGAGGGGAAUGGCCAGAAUUCCACGAUCCUUGGUGUCAAGAUGGAACACGGGCCGAGAGAGAAAACCUUUACAUCUUUGUGUGGAUGCGAAGAAUCCAGGAACUGUUCAUCACUCUCUUUAACAGUGAAGAAGAAGAAAUAACAAAAUCUGGCAUAUAAAGGGGAUCGAUAUCUAUGAGUGUGAUCCAUUUGGCGGAGGUACGAGCUCUUAGUGACGUGUUACAUCACUGGAUCCUUUUCCCACAUAAUAAACUACAGUAUUGAUAAAAGAAGAACGUGUGCAGCUCACAAUCUGACUCCAGGCCGGAUGUUCAGUUUUCUAGAGCAACCAAAUGAUGAAAGGUGAUAAAGGUGGAGAUUAAAUAUAAAUUCUAAAAUCCAAACAUUGUUGGAUUGUACAGAUUUGUAAAAAUGUCAAUUGACGGUGCAUUUAUAUUUCAUUUACAUGUCACUCCGUGAGAGGAUCAGAGAGAGGGAUUUAUGAAAAGGUAAAUAAAGAAAAGAGGAGCGGGAACGAGAGCGAGAGACACAGAGGACAAAACAAAAGAGACGCAGCAGAGAGAGAACAUUUGGAGACGUUGACAGUUGGGAAGAGCAGAAGACGCCUGAAUGGAUCUCUCUCUCCCUUGACGAUAGAAAAAAAUCAAUCAAUAAAUCCUGACGACUGCCAGCUUUUCCAGGAGGGAGAAGUUGUGGCACGCGGCUCACGUGCUGCGCUCAGAGCCGGCGGUCACGUCAAAGAGGCAUCGACGGGCCGGAAACAAGCAGCCUCGGGGGGACACGUACCUGUAAGACGCCCCAGUCGCUGGUGCCGUUGGUGGACGCGAUGAGGCCCUGCUCCUGGAACGUCUUGAACCUCAGCGACAGUUUGAACUGCUGCUCGUCUUCAUCCAUCCCGUGAAGAUAAUUCAGAUGAAACUUCAAUGACGCCUCGGUUCUUGGAUGAAGGUGAAACGUCGUCAGGAGAUGACGACCGAGUCCAGCGGUUGUGUUCGGUUGCCGUGGCGUGCUGAACUGAAGUGGCCCCGGAGCACACUGAAAGUUUUGCGAGAUCUCGCAAAAGUACUUUAAAAAACAGCAGCUCUCGUUUUGACCUUGUGGCUCCACAGAGGAAAAACAACCCUGACGCUUGAUGCAGAUCAUCAGACGGGACUUCCCUGUUCGCGUCUCAUACAUCCAUUGAAUACAACUUAAUAAUCAAACAUUAAAUUAGUAAAAAUGGUUCAAUCUCUAGUUUCAAGUCUUCUUCAAUAGUCAUUAAAAAAAGGGUCAUAAAUCAAUAAUCCACUGAUCUCAUUGCUGUCGACUCUUUUAAAGGACUGGACUUUUCUCUACAGAUCAGUAAACAUAUCAUGAGAACGCCUCAGAAGUCUCUGGAGACGACAACAUCAAGUAGUUAACAUCUGCUGUCGUGUCUUCGUACGUUGACGGUAUUUUUCUCAUUAGGUUCUUUGAAGAACCUGAACAAUGGAGACAGCAAGAUGUUAAAGAGCACAAACUGUGUAUUUGACCGUCACGCAUCACCUUCUUAUCGCCAAACCUCACAACUGGAGUCUGACUGAGUCAAAAUACACAGAGAAGAUGUCCCAGAGGAGACGGCACCGAGACGCUCGCUCUGUUUUUAAUCCUCGCAGGAAUGCCGACACGAGUCACGCUGCCCGGAUGUUCUGGAAGCUGAUGACGGCAACACACGCAUGUUCUCGUCUCAUGUCGAACCCGAGGGAUGUUCUCCACCAGAGGUGAAGAAGAGGAGGGAUCUUUGAUCUCAGACUAAACAGAAAACAAAUCCAGAAAUAAGAUAAUGAAAAACAUCUGGAAACGCA